GACGAACGCUGGCGGCGUGCCUAAUACAUGCAAGUAGAACGCUGAAGGAGGAGCUUGCUCUUCUGGAUGAGUUGCGAACGGGUGAGUAACGCGUAGGUAACCUGCCUGGUAGCGGGGGAUAACUAUUGGAAACGAUAGCUAAUACCGCAUAACAGUAGAUGUUGCAUGACAUUUACUUAAAAGGUGCAAUUGCAUCACUACCAGAUGGACCUGCGUUGUAUUAGCUAGUUGGUGGGGUAACGGCUCACCAAGGCGACGAUACAUAGCCGACCUGAGAGGGUGCUCGGCCACACUGGGAAUGAGACCCGGCCCAGACUCCUACGGGAGGCAGCAGUAGGGAAUCUUCGGCAAUGGACGGAAGUCUGACCGAGCAACGCCGCGUGAGUGAAGAAUGUUUUCGGAUCGUAAAGCUCUGUUGUAAGAGAAGAACGAGUGUGAGAGUGGAAAGUUCACACUGUGACGGUAGCUUACCAGAAAGGGACGGCUAACUACGUG
rnacentral:rRNA from 1 species